rnacentral:tRNA from 1 species
UCAAAAUGUAGUUUAAUAAAAAUAUUAGCUUUGGGAGUUAGUGAUGCUAAGAUUAGCUAUUUUGAG